UUAAUACUCCCUCCGUUUUAAAUUUUGUGUCUUAGAUUUGUUUAGAUAUGAAUGUAUCUAGUCAAGUUUUAGUAUUUAGAUACAUCCAUUUCUAAACAAAGUUAAGACAAUAAUUUUGGAAUGGAGGGAGUAUAAA
rnacentral:pre_miRNA from 1 species